rnacentral:rRNA from 1 species
AUACGGAGGGUGCAAGCGUUACUCGGAAUCACUGGGCGUAAAGCGCGCGCAGGCGGGCUGAUAAGUUGGAUGUGAAAGCCUACGGCUCAACCGUAGAACUGCAUCCAAAACUGUCAAGCUAGAGUCUGGGAGGGGAAGAUGGAAUUAGUUGUGUAGGGGUAAAAUCCGUAGAGAUAACUAGGAAUACCAAAAGCGAAGGCGAUCUUCUGGAACAGUACUGACGCUGAGGCGCGAAAGCGUGGGGAGCAAACAGGAUUAGAAACCCCGGUAGUCC